UGGACAGAUUAUUGUAUUCGACUGUAUUCACGGCGUGAAACAGGGGAUUACACUGUUUUUAAACGGAAAGUGAAUCAAUUAAUAUAAUAGACUCCU
rfam:Nicotiana attenuata strain TT chromosome 2, whole genome shotgun sequence.